UAGGGAAUCUUCGGCAAUGGGGGGAACCCUGACCGAGCAACGUCGCGUGAGUGAAGAAGGUUUUCGGAUCUUAAAGCUCUGUUGUUAAGGAAGAACGAGUGUGAGAAUGGAAAGUUCAUGCUGUGACGGUACUUAACCAGAAAGGGACGGCUAACUACGUGCCAGCAGCCGCGGUAAUACGUAGGUCCCGAGCGUUGUCCGGAUUUAUUGGGCGUAAAGCGAGCGCAGGCGGUUAGAAAAGUCUGAAGUAAAAGGCAGUGGCUCAACCAUUGUAGGCUUUGGAAACUGUUUAACUUGAGUGCGGAAGGGGUGAGUGGAAUUCCAUGUGUAGCGGUGAAAUGCGUAGGUAUAUGGAGGAAAACCGGUGGCGAAAGCGGCUCUCUGGACUGUAACUGAAGCUGAAGCUCGAAAACGUGGGGAGCGAACAGG
rnacentral:rRNA from 1 species